rnacentral:rRNA from 1 species
GACGAACGCUGGCGGCGUGCUUAACACAUGCAAGUCGAACGGAAAGGCCCUGCUUUUGUGGGGUGCUCGAGUGGCGAACGGGUGAGUAACACGUGAGUAACCUGCCCUUGACUUUGGGAUAACUUCAGGGAACUGGGGCUAAUACCGGAUAGGAGCUCCUGCUGCAUGGUGGGGGUUGGAAAGUUUCGGCGGUUGGGGAUGGACUCGCGGCUUAUCAGCUUGUUGGUGGGGUAGUGGCUUACCAAGGCUUUGACGGGUAGCCGGCCUGAGAGGGUGACCGGCCACAUUGGGACUGAGAUACGGCCCAGACUCCUACGGGAGGCAGCAGUGAGGAAUAUUGCACAAUGGGCGGAAGCCUGAUGCAGCAACGCCGCGUGCGGGAUGACGGCCUUCGGGUUGUAAACCGCUUUCGCCUGUGACGAAGCGUGAGUGACGGUAAUGGGUAAAGAAGCACCGGCUAACUACGUG